ACGUGGGACGUGGGACUGGAUCCUGGGACUCCAGGAUCAUGCCCAGGGCUGAAGGCAGGUGCCAAACUGCUGAGCCACCCAGGGAUCCCCACUGACCUUCCAACUUUAAGUUCUUUCUAGCUUAUCUCUGAACUCAGGCCACCCAACCCUCAAGCAAUAGGGACUGCCCUGAGCCAGCACGACCCCCUGUGAUUGACCUCAAGACAAUGGUUGGUUUGACCUUCACCAUCUAUCCGCAGUAUCCACUGACGUUUGCCGCACAUUUCCUUAUUUAAACCUGGAAGUAUUUUUGGCGCUUUGAAGACAGUCUUUGAGACUUUAGUCUGCUCUCUUCCGAAUGCUGGCCUCACUGAAAUAAAUUCCUUUCUGAUUUCACCGCCACUCCUCUCUCUGCCUUUGGAUUUUGUCAGCUGUGAUUGGCCAAAUCUGGUCUGUUUGGGACCCUCUGAGCCAAGUGUCCUUGCACCCCUGUGCCCUGGCUACAUUUCAAGUUUUGUAAUCACCUGAAUCUAUACUUCCAGACCUGUACGUUAGAAAACCUACAUUUCUGAUUUUUUUUUUUUUUUUUUCUCGGAGAGAGGGAAGAUGAGAAGUUGGGACACAACUACAAAUCUGCUUAACCAGGAGACCUUUCGGGGGUUAUCAAGGUGGUUCAUGUUACUUGGUGAUCAGAAGUGGGAUGCAAAGAAGACCCCCAACAACUACCAGACUUCUGAACAAACAGGCCUGCACCCACAGAGCCAGUUGGGCUCCUAUUGCUUUCUGGCUGACCCUCGAGUUUGAGCUCUUCAUGUGACCCAAAUCAGGAGUCCCCCAUAUAACCAGAGCAUGGGACACUGUGAUGUGAUAUGACCUCUGUAAGGUGGCUGCGGAACCUGAAGGUUUUUUACUUGCAUAAAGUCCAGACCCUUUCUUGCCCUGCAAGAAUCUGCCCAGGUGGAAGAUCUCCUUGUCUCUAAUCUGGCCUCACAAUCUGCAUUUCAUCAUUCUGCUGCGCUGCUUCUCACAAGUGAGCAAACUUGGCACUGGCUUGCAUUAAAACACUGUUGUUGCUAAUACCCAAAGGUUUUUCUGUACUUGAAUCCUAUUCAAGAUAUAGAAAAUAACU